UACGAAGGGUGCAAGCGUUAAUCGGAAUUACUGGGCGUAAAGCGCGCGUAGGUGGUUUGUUAAGUUGGAAGUGAAAGCCCCGGGCUCAACCUGGGAAUUGCUUUCAAAACUAGCAGGCUAGAGUACAGUAGAGGGUAGUGGAAUUUCCUGUGUAGCGGUGAAAUGCGUAGAUAUAGGAAGGAACAUCAGUGGCGAAGGCGACUACCUGGACUGAUACUGACACUGAGGUGCGAAAGCGUGGGGAGCAAACAGG
rnacentral:rRNA from 1 species